GGAGAGUAGAUUUUUAGUUCUCUGAUCCUGAAGUGAGGACUGCCUGAAGGCAGGAGCUUCUGGGACAACUGAAGUAAAGUAAAAGAGGGCCUGAUCCUGACUUGUGUCGAGAGGGGACUAUUCCUAUCUAUUGUUGGGUCUGGACUAUCUGGGAGUCAGCUGAGGGCUGAGCCUCUUAGGCCUGGAACUGGAGUGGGAAGCUCUCCUGGCCCUUGGAGAGCUGUGGCCUAGAUUGUACAAGUUACAUGUUGCAAUGACCAAGGCAUAGAAUCUUGGUGGUGGAUCUGAAUAGGAAAAGACAAACUUCUAAAGAUGCUGGAGUGAAACUACCUGGAGCAGUUUUGUCUGGUCUUCUCAUCUUGCGCCCUGUGGAAGAUCCUGCUGGUAUGGCCACUGCCCAGCUGAUACUGCCCCUCUUGAGAGUUUCCUCUGAUUGCUGCUAUUACCCCACAUACCAGAGGACUCUGAGCUCUCUCUUUGAGGGAAUCUGUUGGUGGAAGAGGAGUACUUGGAGCAGCUACACAUGACCUACGUCAGCAGGGGGUUCGACACCUUAUGAAGAAGCAGCAGGCAGCCAGGGGACUUCACUGGAGUUUCCUGUAUUCAUUAAUAGUGGGAGGAAGUUUCUGGUUUUCAUGGUCAAGGAGAGAGCCAUCCAAAUGGGAGCCACGUGCAGUAGAUGCAGUGUGGCUGCCUGAGUAUGCAGCCUUCUGGAAACAAUGAUUUUGAACGGUGUGAACCCUCUCCCCCUAUUCUGUAUUAACUUCAAUGGAGUGUCAACAUCAGUGUCAACACUUACUGUGGCAUCACUGAUCAUUUUCGUAGAAGGAAGACUGUGGAAGCAGGGGAAGUUAGGAAUAGCUACAGGGAAGGAAAUGGAAAAAUAGAGGAGACAAAUAUAGGGAAGAGGGAGAGAAACAGAAUGGAGGAUGGGGAAGGAAGAGGAGCAAACGGCAAAAAUAGCAGUGAUCCUAAAGGUGGGAAUAUUUUCUGUCGAAGUGAUACUGAAUGCAACAAUAAGAUACUCAGUAAGUAACAAUAGUAACUAAAAGGUUACUGCAUAAAAGUCAUAUUUUAUCCCUGAUCUUUGUGCAAUGUCCCCUUCCCCCUGACACUGAUGGUGAUUUCCUAUGUGGAUUAAGGGGUGUAUUUAGUCCUCUAUUUAUACACAGCCCACUGAUUUUUAAUGGAAUUUGGCCAUCUCCACCCAAUGUUUGACAUCUGAUUUAGAGCAAAAUUGAAUCACAAGAAAUUCCACAGAACCCAGUGAGUCAUCACCAGGUUUAUUUAAACUUACUUAAUUAAUUUAAAAUAGCUGUACGUAUAAUGAUGUGACAAUCCAAAAGCUUUAUUUUCAGAUAGGCAUCUGAGUGUUUUUCCAGAUAGCACAACAGACUUCUUUUUUCAAACACCUGUUUGGUAUAAGUAAAAUUAAUAUAAUAGAGAUCAAAGAACGACUUAGAUUCAGAGCUUGAAAUAACAAUUUAACAGAGGAAAAAACCCUCAUAAAGGGGGAGAUGUUCUCAUGUGAUAUUCUGCAAUGCUACAGAAUUGCUGAGAGAGGACACCUAGUGGUGAUUAGUGGUUCAGUAUAUGCACAUGCCUAUUAAAAAGAGUUUGUGUAGCUGCUGAAAAUAUGUAAUAAAGUUAAUAAUUGCCCUAAGGGGCUAACUGUUACAGCAGGCAGCUCUUUACCAAAAUAUUCUGCUUAGAAUUUACUAAAAUCCAAUUGACUUUAUCAUGACCACCACUUAAUGAUUUAAGUAGAAGGUCUAGAAAUUAAGGCAAAACUUGUCUUCCUUUUCCCCUUAAGACUUGUUUUGCUAAAGGAACUAGCUUGUCAAUAGAGGGUCCUUUAAAAUAAGACCCUUGUAUGAAAAUGCUUUUAAUUACCUGUCUGUAAGAUCAGGAAUUAUUUCUUUUAGAGAGAGAGAGAGAUCAUAGGAAAGAUUUUGAUGAUUUUUGUGUGUAUUGGUAACUUUGUAAUCAGUCAUUAAAUAAAUUAAAAUGCAAAAUAAAA